rnacentral:lncRNA from 1 species
CCUUGAAUAAAAAAUAAAAACCGAAACACGAUACAUUCUAAGAGGAUUUGUAAAAAACUCGCCUUAUCUGGUGUGUAUUCCAGUACUUCUUAAAGUGAUGACGAUGAAAGUAUGUGGAACUAUUCUAUUUGUUGCUUUGCUAGAUGGCAUUUCAAAUGGUAAGUUAUAUUUUGUUUUUUUAUUGUUGAUAGCAUCACCGAAUGAGACCUAAUUUUGAAACAAAAAAUAUAUGUAGCAUUUUGUUGAUUGUACUUAAUCUUAAUCUUAAACUUAAUCUGUUGUUUUUUGUCAUGGUGUUCUCGCGUUCUCUUUGACAUGUUGGUUACCUUUUUGGUAUAUGUUACCUCUUUUUAAACGUUUUUCCAAUAUCACUGUUAUCAAAUAAUACAUUGUUUCAUAUAAUCCACGUUUGUUUCAUUUACAAGAGGAGGUGAUGCAGUUCAUUUAUUCCAAGCUUUGAUACAUUUUAUAGCGUGAUCAAGCAGACAAGUGUAACCAUGGUAACCCAGUAUAAGCCUUAUAAAACAGCCAUUGUCGUUUAUUGCUGUAUAGGAUAUUUGCUGUUUUUUCGGUUAUUAUUUUGAACAUAAAUCAGCAUGUUAGUUUUCGCUUAGAAUUGAUCUGCACUUAUCAUGUCGGGACUUUGAUUUGUUUUUAAAUAUUUAAACGUAAAAAAAAAUGUAUAUUGCCUCCUGUUGAUUCGGUUUCCCUAUAUGUUUAUAUUGUACACAGCCAUUCAUUAUCAGUCUGUUAAUGAUGUCUGUAUACUAAUCCAUAUAAUGUGACUGUGAUGAUUGAUACUUUAGUCUGGAAAAACUUCAAUUAUCAGUGAGUUGUUAUUAACCUUCUUCUAUUGGUGCUUUGUAUCUUUUUCGCCCUAUUUUUAAAAAUCAAUAAAGUUAAGCAAAUUGUAACUGAUUUUUAUAGUUUGAGCUUUCGUUGUGCUGCUACACCACUGACUUAUGAUAGGGGAGGAUUUAGUUCUUCUCACAAACAUUUAUAGUUAUUCUACACUCUAAAGUGCUUAUCAGGAACAUGUUAUGCGUUUGUUUCGUGUCUGUUGUAAAUGUAAAUUGUGUUGUAAUAAAUUAGGUUGUAAGUUACAAUUUUUUUACCAUUGUCAUGUCGCUGCCUUCCUUAGACCACUAGAAUACGGGUAUGCGAUUUGCUCAAUGUUAAAGGCUGUAUGGUGACCUAUAAAUUGCUGGUGUGUGAUUUCUGAUUGAUCCUACCAUAUCUGCACAUUUCUAUAUACAUAAUAAAAUAAAAUUGAGAAUGUAAAUGGGUAAUGUGUCAAAGAGACAACAACCCGACCAUAGUGCAGACAACAGCAAAAGGUCACCAACAGGUCUUCAAUGCAGCGAGAAAUUCCCGCACCUGGAGACGUACAUGUCAUCAACAACCACCUGUUAAGAAAAAGGUAUUUCUAUAUAACAUGUGCUCCAUUGGUAGGUGGUAACAGUUCCAGUAAUUAUUUAUCAAAGAUGCAUCAAAACUAUGCUUUCUAUUCAAUAAUGCCGCAUUCCUUUGAAAUUUUAACUGAAGGAUUUAAAAAAAAGAGAGGCAAAAGAUACAAGAGGAACAUUGAAACUCAUAUGUCGAAAAUGUUCUUUAAAACUAGGUUAAAUUCACCAUUGUCUACAUAAGAAAAUGUCUGUACCAAGUCAGGAAUAUGGCAGUUGAUUAUCAUUCGUUUGAUGUGCUCGAGCGUCUGAUUUUGCUAUUUGGGAAGGGACUUUCUGAUUUGAAUAUUCCUUGGAGUUCAGUAUUUUUUUCUUAUUUUACCUUUUAUUCAGUAAAUAGUUAGGCUGUUUAUCGAAGUGGUUUUUUUUUCAGAAAGUUCCUAUACCAUGUAAAAUAAAUAUAAUUCACAAUCUACGUAUGAUUAUAAAUCCCUUCACUGUAAAAGGUAAGUCAUUUAGUACGAAACGAAC